UACGUAGGGGGCUAGCGUUGUCCGGAAUCAUUGGGCGUAAAGAGCUCGUAGGCGGUGUGUCGCGUCGGCCGUGAAAACCUGCAGCUUAACUGUGGGCUUGCGGUCGAUACGGGCAUCACUGGAGUUCGGCAGGGGAGACUGGAAUUCCUGGUGUAGCGGUGAAAUGCGCAGAUAUCAGGAGGAACACCGAUGGCGAAGGCAGCUCACUGGGACGGUACUGACGCUGAGACGCGAAAGCGUGGGGAGCAAACAGG
rnacentral:rRNA from 1 species